CCUACGGGGGGCUGCAGUGAGGAAUAUUGCGCAAUGGGGGCAACCCUGACGCAGCAACGCCGCGUGAGUGAGGAAGGUUUUCGGACCGUAAAGCUCUGUCGAGCGGGAAGAAAUGCAUAGUGGCUAAUAUCCAUUAUGCUUGACGGUACCGCUAAAGGAAGCACCGGCUAACUCCGUGCCAGCAGCCGCGGUAAUACGGGGGGUGCUAGCGUUGUUCGGAAUCAUUGGGCGUAAAGAGCGUGUAGGCGGCUGGAUAAGUCAGAUGUGAAAGCCCUGGGCUUAACCCAGGAAGUGCAUUUGAAACUGUUCAGCUUGAGUAAGGGAGAGGAAAGUGGAAUUCCUGGUGUAGAGGUGAAAUUCGUAGAUAUCAGGAGGAACACCGGUGGCGAAGGCGACUUUCUGGCCCUAUACUGACGCUGAGACGCGAGAGCGUGGGUAGCAAACAGGAUUAGAUACCCCAGUAGUC
rnacentral:rRNA from 1 species